UGUAGUGAUGAAAAUCUCGAGUAGGAAGUGCCGUCCGAUGCGACAACUGACGAUGUUUUGUCCACUUUUCUGAGU
ensembl:snoRNA